GCAUACGCAAUAUCAUGUUGAAUGCAUCGGUUCUCGUCCGACCACCGAAGUUAAGCAACUUCGUGCCUAGUUAAUAUUCCGACGGGGUGACCGCUCGGGAAACCUAAGUGUUAUUAGCA
rnacentral:rRNA from 1 species